AUUGAACGCUGGCGGCAGGCCUAACACAUGCAAGUCGAACGAGUGGCGGACGGGUGAGUAAUGUCUGGGAAACUGCCUGAUGGAGGGGGAUAACUACUGGAAACGGUAGCUAAUACCGCAUACCAUCGGAUGUGCCCAGAUUGGAUUAGCUAGUAGGUGGGGUAAAGGCUCACCUGGGCGACUGUCCCUAGCUGGUCUGAGAGGAUGAACAGCCACACGUGAACUGUGACACGGUCCAGACUCCUACGGUAGGCAGCAGUGGGGAAUAUUGCACAAUGGGCGCAAGCCUGAUGCAGCCAUGCCGCGUGUAUGAAGAAGGCCUUCGGGUUGGAAAGUACUUUCAGCGGGGAGGCGUUACCCGCAGAAGAAGCACCGGCUAACUCCGUGCCAGCAGCCGCGGUAAUUC
rnacentral:rRNA from 1 species